GGAGUGAAGAGAAGGAUCUAUUAAAUUAUUGCCCACCAAAAAAUUACAAGAAUUAAACUGGUUAUACAUUCCUUCUGUACAACUAGUUUGACAUCCCCUAUUCUAAACAAUGGCCAUGAUUUUGACACAUUAUGAAUGUCAAACUUAAUGUACAAAAUGAAUGUACAUAUAACAGCUUUGAAAUUACAGAUAUCAACCAUGUGAAAUGCUUACAUGUUAUGAGCAGUGGCAACAUCAAUUUGGUAUAAACUAAUCAAUUAAGAUUUGUAUUGCGUUUUUCACAACAGAAUACACUAUUGAAUAUGACAAACACGUUUCAUAUACAUGAAAGUUAUCCUUUCAGGUCCUUUCCCGUUCCGUGUCAACAGGUGAGGCAUUCUUAGUGCCCACGUUAUAUACCUCCCAAGUCAUCGGAGAGGAAUUUGAUGUGUCAGGUUUGGUGGUUGCCCAAAGGCGCACGCGUACUCUUCUUUUAUGAGCGAGACUCCGUAUAGCAAUCAUAUCUCACCAUUAUGUGUAUGUAAAUCAUUAUAUAAACACAUUAUGUAUAUGUAGCAUAACUGAUUCCAUUUUAUCAUCAAGGCAUACAAUAUUUUACAUACUAAAAAUGAGAGCUCUUUUGAGGAGGACCAAGUUGGCGCUAGAAAAUGCAAAAUAACCUCAUUUACCAGCUUUAUAUAGAUCAACCGUCUUCUAGUUGAUAUUCUACAUUCUCGUUUCUCCUCCUCCUCCACCCAUCACCUUCUCUCCCUAACCCAUCUCCUGUGAUCCCAACCACUCAUCCUGCUCAAUUUCCUCAUGGUCGGGAGCCCCCAAAUAGAAGGAAGUCCUCAAAACUCCUUCCCAGUUACACUCGGAAGUCUUGCUCACUAAAUGCAGGGGAGAUAUGGGGAUCGCAUAUGCAAAGUGGGGAAGGAGGUAUGCAAGAGGAAGUAAAGAAUGAUGCGCUGAAUGUCAUAUUUAACAAGGUUAAAUUGAACAUUCAAUCUCCAAAAAUGCAUCUUAUCUUAAACUAAUAAAAAGGGUAAAAUUUCCACUCUGCUAGAAAGGCUAUUCUGAACUACUCAAGAAUUUGCCACCAGAAAUUGACUUAAUCUCUCAAACUAUACAAAAAUAAAGAGGUUCAUACUUCAUAACACAUUCAUUAAACCUGGAAAUAUCAGUUAACAAUGUCACUAAUCCCAUCAAGUCUCUGCAUAAAUUGAAACCAAAAGUUACCAUAUUUCAGAAAAUCCAAUCUCAAAUGGCAUGCACGUGUAUAAUGAACCUAUUGAAUGAAACAAUGCCAAUCAAAUCUAAGCAUACAUACACAUGUAGAUCAAAGAAGUGGACAAGGGGUAGGGAAAAGAUAGAGAAAGAGACACUGGAGAUGAGUGGGACUUGAAACACUUUUCACACGUAGGUAAAGAAAGGGAAAUGGUAUUUAUCCCCUACAUUUCCAUGAUGGCCAAGAGAAUUAAUGACUAUUAAAGACAUUUUUUCCUAUAUUUCUGGCAUACUUCAUCUUCAGCAUAGUCUUUAAGACAAAAAUGCAGAAGUAUUUUUCCAUUUCAACAAUGUUCAUAACAAAAACCAAAAACAAAUCUGAUUUCUAACUAGAUCAUUAAUUCCAUAAAUUUUCAGUAUAAAGCACCACAAGAGAAUUUCAGUCAUAAAUCGACUCAGAAAAUACAUAUAUUUAAUAUACGUACUUGGUAACAAGUAAUAAUUGGACAAGCUGAAUCAGAAGAGAACAUAAUUAUCAGCAUCUUGAGCUUCGAUUGUAAGCAAAUUAAAGAUGUUUGGAUAUCACUAAAAUUUUACUUUCUUCUUAUUGAUAAUGAAAAGCGCCUCAAAGAGACUCUCUAAUUACAAGAUUCUCUUUAUUUUAUAAAGCCAAUGCAUAAAAAUAAGCUCCAAAAGGCUGUUAAUUUUUUAAAAUAUAGAGUGAUUUUCUCUGGAUUUGAAGAGCUAAACUUACUCUCUAUUUUUACAUUGUAAUGAUUACAUUUGAUAAGUUACAGUUCUCAAUAUUCCACUUCUCAAAUUAUUCAAACCAUAUUUGAAUUGAUUGGCCAUAAAAAUCUUUAAAAAAAAAAAAAAAAAAAGUAAAUAGAUGAAGGGAAACAAUAAAUGUUUAUGAAAAAAAGAAAAAUAAUGUUAAAAUAGAUAGCAUUGUUGGAGGGUUUAAAAAAAAAUUUACACUAUAAAUUUAAUGAUGCUCUCUAUCAUAUAUAAGAAGCUCUCUGUUAGAGAGCCUUUCGGAGAUUCUCUAAAGAAGUUACUUCUUUGGACAAUGAACAAGACAAUAACUUUAAUAUUUCCAACUCUACCUUUUUCACUUAUAAGUAAAUUUAUUAAGCCUAGCCAAACAUAAACUAGAUGUAUAUACGGAUUCAUCUUCCCAAUACUUAUCUACAGCUUAUAUCUCUAUCCUCAACAUAAGCUUCAAAUGUUAGAAAGGAUAAGGAUUUGCUUUCAAUCUUAGCAAAACUAUAAGAUAAAAAUAAUAAUGAAACUAAAACAAUCUCAAUUCGAAAAUAUAUUCAAUACAAAGUUCCUAAAUUUCACAAAAUAGAACAUAUUUAUCAUGUUCAUCAUAUUAAGCCAAUUUGGCAUGGCUUUUGAAAAGCUGAAAGCUGCUUCUGGCCUAAAUAGCUGCUUUUGAACAUGUUUAUAAAAUGUUGUGGGGGUGCUUUGCCUGGCUAGAGCUGAAGAAGCUCUUCUACAAGAGGCAAAAGCAAAAGCCCUAUGCUCUUAAUAAUCUAAUAACCACAGUUCCCCUAAUUUUAUUAGUCUGUUCCAGCAGAUUCGCCAAUCUAGGAAUUCCAUUUAUGAACUGAAUCAAGAUCAAAACAUUUAAUAAAAUACAAAUUUACUAUAAAUCAGAUCAAAGUUAGAAAACAAACAGGGUCGAUUAAAAAUGACCUUCCUUGGAGAUCGAGAUCGGGAUCGAGAUCAAGAAGAUAACAAACCGGGGAAAGGUAAGACUGAUAAAACCAGAGCGGAAAUCGAAAAGACAGAUUACGAGUUUGUGCGUGAAUCUAACAAACUAAUACAACACCGAUUGAUUAUCAAAUCAGGAAAAUGUUGAUAGAAUUGACUAUCAACAUCCCCCACAUCAAGUGCGUACUCAUCUCAUCAGAUUCACGCACAAACUUGAAAUCUGACUCUUCUGUGAAUUGUUGCAGCAUACAUCAUCUUCAUCAAACAUGAAAACAAUAAAAUUGAUUGUGUUAAACACAAUUUGUAGCGAGGAAACAGAAAAGAUUGAAGGAUUAGAGCAUUCGGCUGUGCCUUUGUGUAUUCGUUGGAUCCAAUUGCAAACCCUAGCAUUUAUCAUAUUCGGCUGUGCCUUUGUGUAUUCGCAGGAUCCAAUUGCAAACCCUAGCAUUUAUCAUAUUUU
rnacentral:lncRNA from 1 species